CUCCUCUCAGGGUUGCAUUUGGAGAGUUUCCAGUACCCUACCAGUCUCGGCUAUGGGAGGGAGAGUCAAGUAGAGGCAUACCCAUUGCAUUCUUAGCUUGGCCAGUGGCUAGCAAGUGGAAGGCAAUCUACUACAAGU
rnacentral:snoRNA from 1 species